UGUCCCUACGGGGGGCAGCAGUGGGGAAUAUUGCACAAUGGGGGAAACCCUGAUGCAGCGACGCCGCGUGAAGGAUGAAGUAUUUCGGUAUGUAAACUUCUAUCAGCAGGGAAGAAAAUGACGGUACCUGACUAAGAAGCCCCGGCGAACUACGUGCCAGCAGCCGCGGUAAUACGUAGGGGGCAAGCGUUAUCCGGAUUUACUGGGUGUAAAGGGAGCGGAGACGGUAUGGCAAGGCUGCUGUGACAACGCGGGGCUCAACCCCGGCACUGCAUGGGAAACUGUCGGACGAGAGUGUAGGCGAG
rnacentral:rRNA from 1 species